AUGGGGAUCCUGCCAGAGCCAUCAGCUCAGGAGCUGGUGCCAAGUUCAGACCUUUCCCUAAGGAGCAGACACCACCACCACCCAGCGUGCUGCAUUGAUGACUCCUGCUCAAACUCCUGUUUCUCCUAUCCUCAUCCUUGCCCCAGGGAUAAAUUAUUCUUUGCAGAAACUUACAAGUGUCCCGUAACCACUCACCAUCUCUCAGCCCUGCCGGGUACACACUGCAGUCUGGCUUCUCCACGCACCUGUGGGCCAUAAGAGCUUCCUGAAGGAUUUUUGACAACCUGAACCAACAGAGGUAAGCUGGGCUCUGGGCCUGAGCAAGCCUCUUUAAGUAUGUGGGAAGUACAAAGCAGCCAACCUGUCCUCACAUCACUGAACACCAUCUUUUGAAAUAUGCAGGAGCUCUUCACAGGCAGAGCUACUGGAACAUCAACCACGGAUGAUCUCCUUGUCAGCUCCUUUAUCUUCUGCCUUGUAUUUCAGCUCUCAGAGUAUGUUCAGAGACUCCAGCCCAUUCAUUCAUGUUUUCUGUUCCUAUAUGCCAUAAAAUCUGAAUAGGAGCCCUUGUGAUAACACUGCAUGUCACAUGCUUCCCUAGGUCAUCAAUUUCUAUCAGCCACUGAGGUCAGCACUACCUUCCCCUGUGAAGCUGCCCAGUGAUGGCAGAACUCAGCCCGGGCUCCUUUGUCACCGGGGAGCAGAGGUGAUUAACAAACUGGGGAGCUGAAGGUGUUAGGGUCUUCUAAAAUCAGCUAAUAAGCAAUGCGGCUCAAGCUCAGCGACAGGAGAUGAGGAAUCAGAUAAGGCUUGUGAGCUGCAGCAGUGUCACCUGUUUUAGUGAGUGGCAAGAGAUAGCUGACAAAUGGUCUCAAUGUUUGCAAGAAGCUGUGAAAACAUCCUAAAAUUCAAUGCUGUUGUUAAAUGGUUGGCUUUUUGGAAACGCUGCCUUCCUGCUCCUGGAGCAAAUGAUGUCUUGCCUCCUGUAAGGAAGCGCAGAGCUACGUGCUGCCGGCAGAUGCCUUUGCAGUGCAUGGCUGCAGAGACCUGAGCUUUCGCCUUUCAGCCUGCGUGGCUGCCCGGGUUACUGGCAGAUGAUGCCCUGCCACUGCAGCUGGUUCACCCGCCGUGCUCCCUGCAGCUGCUGCACAGAGCAGAGUGGCUUGAAUCUCCUGGGCUUUGCGUUAGGAUCGACUUCUUCAGGAGCACCCUGCUGUGCUUACACCUCCUUUGGGCUGUCCAACACCGUCUGCUGUGCCGGCAGCUCUCAGCCCAGGCUCCUGGAUUGAUCCUUGUGCUUGCCUUGUCCUCAGAGAGCUGCUCUCUGCCCCAGCUCCCUCAUCUCUUGUGGUGUGGCCGUGCCAAAGCCCCUUCACACCCCCACAUCACCAGCCUGUGCCUCGUGUCCCCCGCACUGCUCACCCCAGU
rnacentral:lncRNA from 1 species